UACGGGGGGGGCAAGCGUUGUUCGGAAUUACUAGGCGUAAAGGGCUCGUAGGUGGCCAACUAAGUCAGACGUGAAAUCCCUCGGCUUAACCGGGGAACUGCGUCUGAUACUGGAUGGCUUGAGUUUGGGAGAGGGAUGCGGAAUUCCAGGUGUAGCGGUGAAAUGCGUAGAUAUCUGGAGGAACACCGGUGGCGAAGGCGGCAUCCUGGACCAACACUGACACUGAGGAGCGAAAGCCAGGGGAGCAAACGGG
rnacentral:rRNA from 1 species